AUUAGUUGUAGAUGAGAGAAUAUUACAUUCCAUUUAUAAGUGCAUUUUGCACAAGAGUAUUUAGGAUUGAUGUGUGUCUUGUUUUCUGUUAUUGUUGUUGUAUAGUGUUGAUUUCUGAAGGAGACAUGGAGAGAUGGAAAAAGCUAGCCCAACAGAAACCAAUAAACACUGUCUGUAGAUGGAAAAGGGACUACAUCAUCAGACUGAUUCAGUUCUACAAGUUCAAGGCGGAGUCAAUUCAAUUCAAAUUCCAAUUCAUGAAUUGAAUGGAGGCCAAUUCUGAAAUUCUGAAUUGUGCACAAGUCUGGUUAAGGUAAGAACAUAGUAAAACAGGGCUAUUCAAAUCUUACCCUGGAGGGCUGGAGCACUACAGAAGGGCUUUUCACACCUGAAAUUGUUAACCCUGGGUUUUUCUAAACCCAGGGUUAACGGAAUCCUGGGUUAUUUUUUUCAUGUUUCACACUGUUCAAACUUAACCAGGGGUUAAGCGAUAACCCUGGGUAUUCAUACUUUGACGUUUCACACUGUGCAUUCCUAAACCCUGGGUCAGGAGUCUCCAACCCAGUUUCAAAACACCUGUC